rnacentral:rRNA from 1 species
ACGCUCGACACCUACGGAGGCAGCAGUGGGGAAUAUUGCACAAUGGAGGAAACUCUGAUGCAGCGACGCCGCGUGAGCGAAGAAGUAUUUCGGUAUGUAAAGCUCUAUCAGCAGGGAAGAAAAAGGACGGUACCUGACUAAGAAGCUCCGGCUAAAUACGGUGCCAGCAGCCGCGGUAAUCUGAGGCGGGCUGGCAAGGC